GGGGAAUCUUGCACAAUGGGGGAAACCCUGAUGCAGCGACGCCGCGUGAGCGAUGAAGCCCUUCGGGGUGUAAAGCUCUUUCGGCAGGGAAGAUGAUGACGGUACCUGCAGAAGCAGCUGCGGCUAACUACGUGCCAGCAGCCGCGGUAAUACGUAGGCAGCAAGCGUUGUUCGGAGUUACUGGGCGUAAAGGGUGUAUAGGCGGUUCUCUAAGUCUGGUGUGAAAUCUCCCGGCUCAACUGGGAGGGUGCGCCGGAAACUGGAGGGCUUGGAGUGCGGGAUGGGAGAGUGGAAUUCCUGGUGUAGCGGUGAAAUGCGUAGAUAUCAGGAGGAACACCUGCGGUGUAGACGGCUCUCUGGACCGUAACUGACGCUGAGACACGAAAGCGUGGGUAGCAAAC
rnacentral:rRNA from 1 species